UAGGGAAUCUUCCACAAUGGGCGAAAGCCUGAUGGAGCAACGCCGCGUGUGUGAUGGAAGGCUUUCGGGUACGUAAAGCACUGUUGUAUGGGAAGAACAGCUAGAAUAGGAAUGAUUUUAGUUUGACGGUACCAUACCAGAAAGGGACGGCUAAAUACGUGUCAG
rnacentral:rRNA from 1 species